UACAGAGACUGCAAGCGUUAUUCGGAUUCACUGGGCGUAAAGGGUGCGCAGGUGGUCGUGUGUGUCAGAUGUGAAAUCCCGGAGCUUAACUCCGGAACUGCGUCUGAAACUGCACGACUAGAGCAUUGGAGAGGGUAGUGGAAUUCACGGUGUAGCAGUGAAAUGCAUAGAUAUGUCACAGAACACCAAUUGCGAAGGCACCUUACUAAAGUAUGAUUGACGCUGAGGCACGAAAGCGUGGGGAUCAAACAGG
rnacentral:rRNA from 1 species